rnacentral:rRNA from 1 species
GACAGAGGGUGCAACCGUUGUUCGGAAUUACUGGGCGUAAAGCGUGUGUAGGCGGCUACAUAAGUCGGAUGUGAAAGCCCCGGGCUCAACCCGGGAAGUGCACUCGAUACUGCGUAGCUUGAGUCUCGGAGAGGUUGGUGGAAUUCUCGGUGUAGAGGUGAAAUUCGUAGAUAUCGAGAGGAACACCGGUGGCGAAGGCGGCCAACUGGACGAAGACUGACGCUGAGACACGAAAGCGUGGGGAGCAAACAGG